GAUGAACGCUGGCGGCGUGCCUAAUACAUGCAAGUCGAGCGAACGGACGAGAAGCUUGCUUCUCUGAUGUUAGCGGCGGACGGGUGAGUAACACGUGGAUAACCUACCUAUAAGACUGGGAUAACUUCGGGAAACCGGAGCUAAUACCGGAUGAUAUUUUGACCUUCAUGGUUCAAAAGUGAAAGACGGUCUUGCUGUCACUUAUAGAUGAAUCCGCGCUGCAUUAGCUAGUUGGUAAGGUAACGGCUUACCAAGGCAACGACGCAUAGCCGACCUGAGAGGGUGAACGGCCAGCCUGGAACGGAGGCAGGGCCGCGACUCCUAGAGGGGGCAGCAGUAGGGAAUCUUACGCGAGGGGGGAGAGCCUGACGGUGCAACGCCGCGUAAGGGAUGAAGGUGUACGGAUCGGAAAGCGCUGUUAGUAGGGAAGAAGAAAUGUGUAAGUAACUGUGAAGAUCUUGACGGUACCUAAACAGAAAGCCACGGCUAACUACGUG
rnacentral:rRNA from 1 species